CCCCCGAGGGUACAGAUCGGGUCGACCCACCCCCGCACCAGCAGCAGCGCCAGGAGGCGGAGGAGGCCAUGGCGAAGCCUGGAGCGGAAGCGAGGAUCUCGUAGCAGGAGGUGCCAUUGCUCGUGGAGGUGGUGGAGGGAUGGGGCCGCUGCGAGGAGAAACCGGGGAUGUUAGCACCUUCACCGGCCCCGGGAUUGAGCUCGGAAUGCCUCUGAAUAUGUUUGGCUUGGGCAUUGGUACUACUACUAAGAUUAUCAAUUAAUUUAUUGAUCUAUAUCACUUAGCGUUACUUGGUAUAAUUUGUCUUUCUUAAUAUGUGAUGAAUGCGGAGUUGGCCUUGGGCUAGGAUGGGGCUUCGGCAAUGCUUAGGGCUGUCAGUAUCGAUCUUUAAGAGUCCAGUUUUAGGGUAUUGAAUUUCAGAAGAAGGCUGAAGGCGAUGAGGCAACGAAGCUUGUUUCACCAGGGAGGGGGCCACGACGGGGAGCCCCUUUACCUGUUACCUGGGAACGAAAUAUAUUAUUGUGAUCUUCCUGAAAUCAAGGUUGUUCUAUUAGGAAACAGAUCAGAGAUCACAGCUUGGUAAUUAAUUAAUUGGCAGACAGAGACUGACAGACAGAUAGCACAAAUCAGCAAAAAAGUAAAAGCUUAUGUAGGUUCUCUAGCCUUCUACAAUUCAUGUAGGUUCUGCAUUAGUUCUACUACGUGGAUACUUGUGGAUUAGACACGUUACUUAUCUAUGACUGUUAAUCUGUGAUCUUGCUUGGUUACUUCUUGUUAAAGCACAAUUCUGGAGUACUGAUGCUCCUUAUUGGCAAUUGUAGUUGCAAAAUUACACAAUGUAAUGGAAAAAGGUCGCACUGCAGUUUUGUUAUGUUGAUGAAUUUCAUUUGGUGAAAUAAACUGAUUGUGCUCUGAUAA